CAACUCAGCAACUUCUGGACAGGUUUUGAUAAAUCUUCCCAGUCUGACAGUUGACUUUCACCUUAAUGUUGUUAUUGCAUAUCUUUCACAUGGAUGUUGUGUUAUGUACUCUGAGCAUUAAGAACAAAGUCUUAAAAUACAAGCACUAAGUGAAAUUUUCCAUUCACCACUGUUCCCUGGAAGCUCAGAAUAGACUGAAAUAAAGCAGGAGAAGUAGGAAUAUAGGAGCCUGGUUAGCAGAAAGUUGACAUCCAGACCAGACAGGACUCGACUGACCUUGCUUGUGGGAAAUCAUCGAAUACAAGAUUAAAAAAAUGGGUUUAUCUUUUCUCAUAGUGGCUUUAUUUUUAUUUUUUCUUUAAGCAACUCAACAUGAAAGAACCAUAAAGAACUAAAC